GACGGACCUGACGAACGUUAUUCGGAAUCACUGGGCUUAAAGGGUGCGUAGGCGGCGCGGAAAGUUGGGUGUGAAAUCCCUCGGCUCAACCGAGGAACUGCGCCCAAAACUGCCGUGCUCGAGGGAGACAGAGGUGAGCGGAACUUACGGUGUAGCGGUGAAAUGCGUAGAUAUCCUAAGGAACACCUGUGGCGAAAGCGGCUUACUGGGUCUCUACUGACGCUGAGUCGCUAUAGUGUGGGGGUCAAACAGG
rnacentral:rRNA from 1 species